GGCCGUGUGGCGAAAUGGCAUCGCGUCUGACUACGAAAUCUACUGGAUUUACAUCAGGAGAUUGCAGGUUCGACCCCUGUCUCGGUCA